rnacentral:rRNA from 1 species
CCUACGGGCGGCAGCAGUGAGGAAUAUUGGUCAAUGGACGCAAGUCUGAACCAGCCAAGUAGCGUGCAGGAUGACGGCCCUCCGGGUUGUAAACUGCUUUUAGUUGGGAAUAAAAGGGGGCUCGUGAGCCCCGUAUUGUAUGUACCAUCAGAAAAAGGACCGGCUAAUUCCGUGCCAGCAGCCGCGGUAAUAAGGAAGGUCCGCGCGUUAUCCGGAUUUUUUGGGUUUAAGGGGAGCGUAGGCCGGCUUUUAAGUCCGCUGGGAAAGUCCGGGGCCCAACCGUGGAAUUGCAGUUGAAACUGGGGGCCUUGAGUGCAGACAGGGAUGACGGAAUGCAUGGUGUAGCGGUGAAAUGCAUAGAUAUCAUGAAGAACCCCGAUCGCGAAGGCAAGUGUCCGGGGUGCAACUGACGCUGAGGCUCGAAAGUGCGGGGAUCAAACAGGAUUAGAUACCCCGGUAGUC